CACGCACGCACUCUCUCUCUCUCAAAAAAAAAAAAAAAAAAAAAAAAAGCUAGUCCUUGUUCCUGGGUCACAUUUCGGUUAUGUCCUUUGUUCCUCUAGAACAGGGUGGGUUCUUGCUACUUCCCUCUGCUCCCCUCCACUCAAACCAGGUCUUGGGAGAUCUGGGCCCUGGGACCAGCUUCUGGCUUCUCUGACCUUCCGGCCACACUUGCCUCCCUAGAUGUCCCCCCCUUGUCUGAGCCUAGACUCCCUGUCACCAUGGGCUCCCCCAGAAGGACACUCAUGCCUCUUAGUGUUUAACCUGUCAUGGAUGGCCACAUUCUGUCCACCCCAGGCCUUGCUGUCUCUCUAGACUUUUUCCCAUGUCCCCUGGCUGGUUGGCCCCAUACCUGAUCUUCAUGGGAAACCGUUUUGUCUUUAGCUCUACCUCUUCACAUGUCUCUUCCCCCCCCAAACUCACACACACAGACUCCCUGGCCACAUUGGUAAUAGCCAGUGAUGUUUGCCACGGAGCACUUUAUGAGCAUGUUCUUGUAAGUCCCUCUUCACAUAUGAGCCAGUGUAGCUCCAAAGGUUUAAGUGGCUUAGCCAAGAUCACAUGGCUAAAGUAACAUACUCCUUUACCUCUGAUUCUAUUCAUUCCAUUCUAGAAAUUUCUUAGGGGAAGGAGAGAGACUGACCGAUUCUAUUCUAGCUCUUCUCUGCUGACUCUUCCUCAUGGUGGCUGGCUUUAGUAACUAGCAGAAACAGGUUUCAAACUUAUGUCUGUUUGAUGUCAACACUGAUAGAUUUAAUCACUCCCCGAAGACAGCCUUUGAUCAUUUCAUGGUCUCUACACUGUAGUUCCCUUUGAUAAGCCAGUGCCCUUCCCCGAUGCUCCGAUGCUCCGUGACACUGCAGAGAAGACUCUGUCACCCAGUGGGGCUAGCUCUGGGACAGGAAGCGUGAAGAUGUGUCCAGCGUGCAAGACCCAAGUGCUCCCCAAGGGACAGCCCCCUCCUCACCAUGUUGAUCUUCCCUUGGGGGUGAGCCAAGGACGACACCGAGAUGGCUGUCACCGCGCUGACCGCAAGAGCAUAAGGCCUCCGGAAGCUCCAGGCCACCAUCAGCCCAAAAUAGGCUGCAAACACGUGGAUGUGCAUCAUGUUGACGUGGUUGUCCUUCUGCAACAAAGGCAGUGAAUGCCCACAGCCUCCGCCCAUGGGCCAAUCCCCGGGAGACAGUUCUGAGCUUCACCCUAAGGUGUGACUUGGGAGUCAUGAGACCAGCGUUUGGCGCUUAGCCAGCCCAGCAGCUCCCCUCUCAGAGGAGACCUGGGAGUAACCAUGUACUUAUUCCAGGGAAAUUGCUGGUUGGCCUUAUCAGUAGCUCUUACAUGCUUUUGGCUGGGAUCCACUUAGGUGAGGCAAAAAGCCACAUGGACAUGCGCCCCCACUGCUUCCUACUUUUGGCAGAAUUGAUGGAGAGGUGAGCAAUAUAAAUUUUGCAGCAUAAAGCAGCCAGACUUCAUAAUGCUGAACUAAAAGUCUUUAGUAAAUGCUAGACAUACGCUAAGUUUGCUUUAUGAACAUCAAAGUUAGUCAUCCUUAAUAACUCACUUAGUGGACCACUCGUAAGUCCUGUCAACUGUGCCUUCAAAGAAAUAUCCAGAACUGGCAGAGUUUUUACCACCAUGCCUCACUGGCCCCACCAUCACCGCUACCCCAAAUUAUUGCAAUAAUCACCGUCCCCCUACUGACUCCUCUCCACAUGGCAGCCAGCGCAUGGCCAUCUCUGUUCAGAAUCUUCCAAUGGUUCCUGUCUCGCUCAAUGUCCACGUCCACGUUCUUGCUCUGACCUAUAGAACCCUCUGUGACUUGCUCGCUCCCUAACCUCCCCGGCUUCACCUCCUGCUCCACUCCUGACACACUCUCACUCUUUCUCAAACCCACAGAUAUGCUCCCAUGUCAGUCCCACUUCACGCUGGCUUUUCCAAUGCCUGGAAUGCCAGGUGAAAGGAGUGAGCCACCACGGGUGCAGGCAGGCAGGGGGUGCAUUGUCUGGAGAGAAUUUAAAACAAUAAUAAAAGCAAUUAAAAGCCUGUCUUUUUAUUAUCACCACGCGCCAACAAUUCUAAACAGCGUGGGCAAUAAAAUACUCCUGGAAGAGGCAGGCCACUCCCACCGCCCUGCCCUUGACCUGCCCUUAUACGCAGACACCCACGUGGCUUGUACACUUGCUGCCUUCAUGUCUCUACUCAAUUUUUUUUUUUUUUUUUUUUUUUUUUUUACCCAGGGAAGCUUUCCCUGGCCACCUUGUUAACAUUUUAUCCCUCUUUCAACUCUUCAUAUCUCCUUUCCCAUUUUAUUUUUUCUCUGUAGUACUUAACACUCUCUAACACGCGAUACCGUUUGCCUAUUUGAUGGUUUAUUGGCAGCCUUUCCCUCUGGAAUGGAAGGUCCCCAACAGUUGCAUUGCCUAAAAGACGCCCGGUACGUAAUAGACAUGGAAUAGACAUGUGAAAUGAACGAGUGAACGGGAAGGAUACCUUCACACAUUUCACUUACACAUGAAAACGAAAGUCUGUGAUAGUCCCUUGUAAAAACUGUGUGAGGUCCCCCAGGAAUCCAGGAACCACAAGUGGGGAUUGUUGGCGUGGAAUACUGUACCCAUUUCUCGAGUUGCCUCCACUGAAACAGCUCUGGUUGCUGCCUCUGGUUUCCUCCUGAGUCUUUCCACUCAAGAACCCAGGCUGAACUGAAGUUCCGAGGUGAAGCGGCCACCUCUCAAAAUCAGUACUAAAUCCUCCUGUGCACCAUCUCACCUAGCGAUUCAAAGCCGCAGAGAAGAGAGGAGAGGAGAUGGCUUUGAAAAACUGCGGCCUUUUAAAACAAUCAUUACGAGGACCCUGGCAAAGCAGGCACAGGUUUACAAAGGACGGCACACAACGCGCGUUGCAGCUCUGGGAAUUCACCCUUCUCUUGACUAGCCACGUGUUUACUCUGUGACCGCCUACGCUGGCUGCAGCUGAUUGGCCCAGAGUAGACAUGUGGCCGCGGGAGCCAAUCAGAUUCUAUCUUACUGGACCGUGGACCUGGGACUAGCUGAGAGCAAAGAGAGCUGUUUCCUGUAGGAUCCGGGCCUUAGAGGCGCAUGAACAAGAGCGGUAGGAGAGAUACGUGGUCUCCACCAAAGAGAAAGCUGAUGUGCACAGAAGUUGGAUGUACAGGGAGGAACAGAACCCAGAGAUGGAGAGCGUGAACUGCCUGGGGUCUUAAAGACUCCUCAGAUCCAGUUCCAGUCCUGAGACUGGCUGCCACCCCUUGCCCUUGGUGGUCCUUAUGUUAAAUUCCCUUCGUUUUGUGUAAAAAAGCUCCAGUGCAAUUUUCUUCCUUGAAAGUAAGGGGUGGGAAUUAAUCCUUGUAGUAAGCAGAGAGAAGCGACAGAAAAUGAAGUAUGCCUGGGUGAAUCCCUGAGCCCAUAGUGAUCUAAAUAAAUAAACAAGCAAAUAAACGCAUGAAUGGAGAAGAAGAGAAAGUUCUUUCUUACAGCAGAACGGUAACUAAGGAGUGUGGAAGGGAAGAGGCAAUCAGAAAAAACAAUCCCCCCCGGGGGGGGGGGGCGGGGCGGCGCCUGGCUGGCUCAGUUGGUAGAGUAUGUGAUUCUUGAUCUUGGGGUUCUAAGUAUGAGCCCCACCUUGGGGUUUAGAGAUUAGAGAUCUCUAAAUAGAGAUUAUUUAAUACAUAAUUUAAGUAAACAGAUUACUUAAA